UGCUACGAUCACAGGUGUGAGCCACCACACCCAGCCCGUGCACGUGUUUUUACGUGAACAUAUGUUUUCACUUGAGUAAAUGGAGUGGAAUGGCUGGGCUGUAUAAAAAGUGUCUAAAACUCCAGGUAAAUCACAUCUUAGUAUUAUGAUGAAAAUAGUUUUGAUGUCACAGACUCCUGAACAGGCUUGGGAACCUCUGGAGUCCCCGGACCACAUUUUAUUUGAACCAUGUGUGAGUAAGUUACAGACAUGAUGUCCCCGCUCCCCAAAUACUUUGAUGUGUGCUCACCGCAAAUAAGGGUACGCUCCCACGCAACCACAGGGCCGCCACACAAGCUCCGGGAACAGGCACUGAUGGUUUCCUACUGCUCAAUCCACACGCACCAACUUCCAGCAAUUAUCUCUGCAAUUCCUUUUACAACAGAGGGAUCCUGUUCAGUUUCCCUAUUCUGUACAGAAAUAGAAAGAAACAGCUGGAUGUGUGUGCACAUAUGUACACAUACAUGUAUACGUGUGUGCAUGCAUUUCCCUUUCUCUGAGACGAUCAGUAACGAUACACCGGCAAGAACAAACAUGCCUAGUGCCCGGGGCUGUUUCUAAUCACAAGUGAGCCACGAACACGUGGCUGUGCACCUCGAGGGUCCACUCACGCGUGGAUUCUUUUCAGUAACAGUGGCAGCCCUCGUGCUGGCCCCUCGAGGCUCCCCUUCCACUUCGCCCGUUCCUUCGGCUUCUGCUGCCCACGGGGCUGCAAGAGCACCCCCUCCUCUUCCUCCUCCUCCUCCUCAGCCUGCUCAGCCUGAAGAUGACGAGGACGAAGGCCUUUAUGGUGAUCCACUUCCACUAAACGAAUAAUCAUCCAUCUUCCAAAGAAACUACCAGCACCAAAGUCUUGGUCCCAGUCGACUUUUGGAGGAACAUGGGGCUCUGUCGGACUCAGACCAGCUGCAGGAGUCGGGGGGACCACAGCAGAGCGAGGAGCAGCAGUAACCCAGAGGAGUCCGGCCGGGGUGGAGUGCAGGAAAUCAUCGUCUCUAUCCAGAUGGUGACCUGCACUUCCCGGAGCUUGUAGGGAGGUGGAAGAGAUGCUGGGAAAAGGACAGAGAAAGACACAACCUUAGCCUCUCCUCUGCCGUCUAGGGCAGGGGCAGGAGGGAGGGCUCAUGUCACAUGGUGGCGGUGUCUCUGCCACACCCACAGUGCCCAGAGCAUUGCUUAUCCAGCACGUCACGCACAAUCAACACGAUCACAGAAGUUCCUUAAAGUUAUGGAUGCCGGGAGAAAAUAUCAUAGAAGGACCUGACCCAAUGGAUGGACAGGCUGUUGAAGCUCCCUCUGGGACUCAGCCUCCCUACAUGUAGAAAGGACAUGAUGGCACCAGCCUGAGCCAGCGGAGAGAGUCCUAUCAGCCAAAGCAUGGCAGGGAAGGGGCCAAGGUGGAUGAGAAGGUUUAUGAUUACUACACUACAGUUGCACGAGCUAGGUCAAAACUUGCCAAAUUUGAUGAAAGAUGUGAAUCUAUGGAUUCAAGAAGCUGAGAACAUUCUACGUAGGAUAAACACAAAGAAAUCCACACUGAAAUACAGUAUAAUCAAACUAUGAAGGACAAAGAGAGUUUCGUAAACAGCAAGACAGAAAUGACUCAUCAAGGACCAGGGCUCUUCAACAAGAUUAACAGGGAUUUCUUUUCAUAAUCCAUGGAAACCAGAAGGCAGUGGGAGGAUGUAUUUAAAGUUCUGAAGGUAAAAAACAGUCAACGCCAAAUUUUAUAUUAGGGAAAACUAUCCUUCAAAAAAUGAAGGAAAAAUCAAGACAGUCUCAGUUAAACAAAAACUGAGAGUGUUCAUCAGUAGCAGACCUGUCCUAAAAGAAAUGGAAAGAGGAGUCCUUCGGGCCAAAAUGAAAGGACUCCAGACAGUAUCUCAGUCAUAGAAAGAAAAAAAGAGCCCCAAUAAAGGCCAUUUCAUAGAUAAAUAUAAAAGCCUAUAUUAUCGCAUUUUUG